UGUCGCUGAAUAUUUACCAGAAGUUCAACUUUACCCAAAAUGUUCACGUUCCCUAGCCCAUGCUGGCAUAGCCCACUGGUUCCCCGCCCACUUCGCUCCCUCAGAUGAAAAUGAAUGUGGCUCCGUUGUCUCAUCGCCCAAUCAUUUAAUGUGGAAAUGUAGGUUUAGGCCUACAGUAUCUAUCUAACAGGUCACACCUGCUUUUGGGCAGAGUGUAACCCUCAUAAAGCCUCAUAGAAUGGAAUUCAUGCAGGACAAUGUGGGAACUGGAGGUCCACAUCGACAAUAAAGAGAGAAGUAGUAAGAAGAUGGCGAGGUUUCUCAGGGUCAGUGGCUAGGCUCUUUGGGAGGGUAAAGUGUGUGUGUGUGUGUGUGUGUGUGUGUGUGUGUGUGUGUGUGUGUGUGUGUGUGUGUGUGUGUGUGUGUGUGUGUGUGUGUGUGUGUGUGUGUGUGUGUGGUCGUGCGUGUGUCAUAGGAAGAAACAUUGUGGAUGGAGUUGAGGGGGUGCCAACAGCAGGUUGUUUUAGCAGGACCUCCAGAGGCCUAGGGGAUGAAUCACUGUUAUCUAUGCUCAGGGAGAGAGAGCACCUGUGGGCACCGCUCCACUCACACCACUUCCUGGUCCCGGAUCAUGGCUGGCUAGAAUCAGUCUGCCUGGAGAUGUUGCCUACCUUAACAACAGGCCUAUGGUCAUACACUCUGGGGAGACACAGAGGUUGUGUCCCAAAUGGCACCCUAUUCCCUAUAGUCCACACAUUUCAGGGUUAAAAGUAGUGCACUAUAUAGGAAAUAGGGUACAAUUUGGGACUCAGUCACAGUCCCACAGGGAGGUUAGCCAAAGUUAAAGCGUAUACACUCUAAGUUUAUACACCCCACCUGGGCUUCCAGCCAAGGAAGUGUCCAGGGGAAUUCAGACUGUUUAGCCAAAAGGUUUCAGAUUAUUAUGUGUUAGCAGUUACUUGUCCUUCCUUUACCUCCAUGUACUGCAGAUCUAACAUAUUGAAUCUGACCCAAAUUAUUGGAUUGUUGUGAGGAAGCAUGGGAUUUCCGUUAUCCUCUAAGAGACAGGUGAAGACGAAGAUAAAUGGUUCUUCAUGAGAACAUAGAUUUCACACGUUUUCCUUUUGGCCCUUUAUUUUCCAAGCCUGGUCCCAGAUCUAUUUUUUCUAUCAAGCAUAUCCUGUAAACUCCGGAAAAACAUGAUGCUUGGCACGAGAAGGAGUGGCACGAUGAUCCAAACAGACUGGUACCCAAUCUGAAGUUCAAAUGUAAUUCAUAAACAGUUGUCAUGAGUUCCACUGAAGGUGGUUCCUCUCCCUGUUCGGGUGGUGCUCGGCGCACGGCGUCGCCGGCCUACUAGCCAUCACCGAUCCUUUUUUCCUUUUCCGUUUGUUUUGUCUUUGGUUCUUUCACACCUGGUUUCAUUUGCUUUAAUUUCUGUGUGUAUAAUUACCCCUGUUGCCUGCUAAGGUUUGUGCGACAUUAUUCGUGUCAUGUUUCUUGUCGAGGUUGUGCCUUGUUUAUUUUCACGUUUUAUACCGAGUGUGUAUCAGUUUAAGGAGCGUUGUUUUCCUCCUUCCGUGAGUAAUUGGUUUUUAUUUUUUGUCGAGAGCGUUUAUUUUGGUAUUUGUACCUGACCUACAUGUUUGUGGACUUGCCUAUUAAAAAGAAAUGCUACUCGGAACAUCUCUGCUUUCCUGCGCUUGACUCCUUCACCUACCUCUAAACACAGUCUCGUAACA